rnacentral:rRNA from 1 species
GAUGAACGCUGGCGGCGUGCCUCAAACAUGCAAGUCGAGCGGGGCUAUGUAAUAUCGCAAGGUAGAACAUAGCCUAGCGGCGAACGGGUGAGUAACACGUGGGUAACCUGCCUGGAAGACAGGGAUAACGAUUCGAAAGGGUCGCUAAUACCUGAUAAUAUCCUUUCAUCGCAUGGUGAUAGGAAGAAAGGGGAAACCCGCUUUCAGAUGGGCCCGCGUCCCAUCAGCUAGUUGGUAAGGUAAAGGCUUACCAAGGCGACGACGGGUAGCCGGUCUGAGAGGAUGUACGGCCACACUGGGACUGAGAUACGGCCCAGACUCCUACGGGAGGCAGCAGUUGGGAAUCUUAGGCAAUGGACGAAAGUCUGACCUAGCGACGCCGCGUGAGGGAAGAAGGCCUUCGGGUUGUAAACCUCUGUCAGUGGGGAAGAAGUAAGUGACGGUACCCCAAGAGGAAGCCCCUGCUAACUACGUGCCAGCAGCCGCGGUAAAACGUACUCUAU